rnacentral:rRNA from 1 species
GAUGAACGCUAGCGGCAGGCCUAACACAUGCAAGUCGAGGGGUAGAAGGAGCUUGCUCCUUUGAAACCGGCGCACGGGUGCGUAACGCGUAUGCAAUCUACCUUGUACAGGGGAAUAGCCCAGAGAAAUUUGGAUUAAUGCCCCAUAGUAUAUAACCUUCGCAUGUUGGUUAUAUUAAAGUUCCAACGGUACAAGAUGAGCAUGCGUCCCAUUAGUUAGUUGGUAAGGUAACGGCUUACCAAGACGAUGAUGGGUAGGGGUCCUGAGAGGGAGAUCCCCCACACUGGUACUGAGACACGGACCAGACUCCUACGGGAGGCAGCAGUGAGGAAUAUUGGUCAAUGGUCGCAAGACUGAACCAGCCAUGCCGCGUGCAGGAAGACGGUCCUAUGGAUUGUAAACUGCUUUUAUACAGGAAGAAACCCUCCCACGUGUGGGAGCUUGACGGUACUGUAGGAAUAAGGAUCGGCUAACUCCGUG